CCUACGGGAGGCAGCAGUGAGGAAUAUUGGUCAAUGGGCGAGAGCCUGAACCAGCCAAGUCGCGUGAGGGAGUACUGCCCUAUGGGUUGUAAACCUCUUUUGUCGGGGAGCAAAAGCCGGACGUGUCCGGCUGUGAGAGUACCCGAAGAAAAAGCAUCGGCUAACUCCGUGCCAGCAGCCGCGGUAAUACGGAGGAUGCGAGCGUUAUCCGGAUUUAUUGGGUUUAAGGGGUGCGCAGGCGGGUUUUUAAGUCAGCGGUAAAAACGUGGGGCUCAACCCCAUCCAGCCGUUGAAACUGGGGGUCUUGAGUGUGCGAGAGGUAUGCGGAAUGCGUGGUGUAGCGGUGAAAUGCAUAGAUAUCACGCAGAACCACGAUUGCGAAGGCAGCAUACCGGUGCACAACUGACGCUGAGGCACGAAAGCGUGGGUAUCGAACAGGAUUAGAUACCCUGGUAGUC
rnacentral:rRNA from 1 species